rnacentral:rRNA from 1 species
GCAGCAGGCGCGUAACCUUUACAAUGCACUAACGUGUGAUAAGGGGACUCCAAGUGCUCAUGCUUUGCAUGGGCUUUUGCCAAGAGUGAAAAUCUUGGCGAAUAAGUGGUGGGUAAGACUGGUGCCAGCAGCCGCGGUAACACCAGCGCCGCAAGUGGUGAUCGGUUUUAUUGGGCCUAAAGCGUCCGUAGCUGGUUAUGCAAGUCUCUUGUGAAAUCGAGGAGCUUAAUUCAUCGGACUGCAGGAGAUACUGUGUAGCUAGGGACUGGGAGGAGUGAGAGGUAUUUAGGGGGAAGCGGUAAAAUGCUAUAAUCCUCUAAAGACCACCGAUGGCGAAGGCAUCUCACUAGAACAGAUCCGACAGUGAGGGACGAAAGCCAGGGGAGCAAACCGGAUUAGAUACCCGAGUAGUCCUGGCCGUAAACUCUGCGAGCUAGGUGUUGCAUAUUCUUCGGGAAUAUGCAGUAUCGUAGCGAAGGCGUUAAGCUCGCCGCCUGGGAAGUAUGGUCGCAAGACUGAAACUUAAAGGAAUUGGCGGGGGAGCACUACAAGGGGUGAGGCGUGCGGUUUAAUCUAACUCCACGCAGAGAAUCUCACCAGAAGCGACGGCAGGAUGAAGGACAGGCUAAAGACCUUUCUUGACGAGCCGAGAGGUAGUGCAUGGCCGCCGUCAGCUCGUGCCGUAAGGUGUCCAGUUAAGUCUGGUAACGAGCAAGACCUGUAUCUACAAUUGCCAGCGGGUAAUUUUUUACGACCGGGCAUAUUGUAGGAACUGCCUUGGAAACAAGGAGGAAGGUGCAGGCAACGGUAGGUCUGUAUGCUCCGAAUCUUCUGGGCUACACGCGCGCAACAAUGGUAAGGACAAUGGGAUGCAACUCCGAAAGGAGAAGCUAAACCUCGAAAUCUUAUCCAAGUUCAGAUUGAGGUUUGUAACUCAACCUCAUGACGCUGGAAUCCCUAGUAAUCGGAUUUUUUCAUAAUCCGGUGAAUAUGUCCCU